rnacentral:rRNA from 1 species
GUGGGGAAUAUUGGACAAUGGGGGGAACCCUGAUCCAGCCAUGCCGCGUGUGUGAAGAAGGCCUUUUGGUUGUAAAGCACUUUAAGCGAGGAGGAGGCUACUUAGAUUAAUACUCUAGGAUAGUGGACGUUACUCGCAGAAUAAGCACCGGCUAACUCUGUGCCAGCAGCCGCGGUAAUACAGAGGGUGCAAGCGUUAAUCGGAUUUACUGGGCGUAAAGCGCGCGUAGGUGGCCAAUUAAGUCAAAUGUGAAAUCCACGAGCUUAACUUGGGAAUUGCAUUCGAUACUGGUUGGCUGGAGUAUGGGAGAGGAUGGUAGAAUUCCAGGUGUAGCGGUGAAAUGCGUAGAGAUCUGGAGGAAUACCGAUGGCGAAGGCAGCCAUCUGGCCUAAUACUGACACUGAGGUGCGAAAGCAUGGGGAGCAAACAGGAUUAGAUACCCGAGUAGUCC